UAACAGCUCGAGUCUUCAUGCCUCUAUUUGAGUGCCCAUCUCAGCGUUGUAGAACAAACAAAACGAAAGGAAACUUAAUUCUUUAACUUAGAGCAUCCAAAUUUCUGAAGUUUCAGGAGGUUUUUCAAUUACUUCUUCAAAGGCAUUCCUAGAAAAAUAUUUUCUUUUCUCUUUCGUAGUUUGAUUGAUAUUGGUCCUAAUGUAUGCCUGAGCAUUUGGUUUGCAGGCCAAACUUCAAGAGUUUGAAAUUUCAAUUUUUGUAUGGUCUUAAUUUCUGUCUCUUAUCAACAAAAUCUAAAAUUUUAAUUUCACACCUACUCAUUAACUUGCGCAGAGGCUGCAUUCUGUAAGUUUAGGAUGAUUUUCAUCAGCUCUUCACUGAUGGAACUAAAAAUUGAAAUUCCAAACUAAUUGGUCAGUGCAGAUUAGAGGAGAGACUUUCAUAUUUGUUUGAUUGGUGAUUCUGGAGUUGCAAAAAGUCAACUUCUUAAACACAUCAUCAAUGUUGCUCCCAGGGGAAUCUACACAAUUGGUAAAGGGAGUUGUUCGAAAGAUAUUGAUUGUUGUCCAGCCGACAAGGUGUGGAAUUUUGGCAUUUUUAGCACAUUUUGGAAAAUGAAUCAAAGGCUUCAUUUUCAGUGAAUCGAAGAGCCUGUCCAAGAAAAUGAACAUUGGUAUAGUGCUUAUGUGGCUUCGAGAGUCAUUGGUUUGCCUAAUCGACCUCAUUUGAUUUUCAUCGAUGGGCAUAUUGUAAGAGUGAAGCUGAAAUGCAAGGAAUGUGCGCAAGACAGUUGCAGGCAAGGGAAAAGGUAGAGACGUAUGAAGAAGAUGAAGACGAGCAUGAUGACACCUUAUGUAGGGCAUGCGGUGAGAACUAUGCUUCAGAUGAAUUUUGGAUUUGUUGUGAUAUCAAUGAGAAAUGGUUCCAUGGGAAAUUUGUUGUAUGAAGAAAUGCUUCAGUUUAUCAGUUUCCUUGUGUGUAUUGAGUUUUCUAAAACAGGGUAGUAG